rnacentral:rRNA from 1 species
ACCUACGGGGCGCAGCAGUGAGGAAUAUUGGUCAAUGGGCGGGAGCCUGAACCAGCCAAGUCGCGUGAGGGAAGAAGGUACUGAGUAUUGUAAACCUCUUUUGCCAGGGGACAAAGGCGGCCACGGGUGGCCGUAAGAGGGUACCUGGAGAAAAAGCAUCGGCUAACUACGUGCCAGCAGCCGCGGUAAUACGUAGGGGGCAAGCGUUAUCCGGAUUUACUGGGUGUAAAGGGAGCGUAGACGGAAAGGCAAGUCAGAAGUGAAAACCCAAGGCUCAACCAUGGGACUGCUUUUGAAACUGUCAA